CCUACGGGUGGCAGCAGUGGGGAAUUUUGGACAAUGGGCGAAAGCCUGAUCCAGCAAUGCCGCGUGUGUGAAGAAGGCCUUCGGGUUGUAAAGCACUUUUGUCCGGAAAGAAAUCCUUGGCUCUAAUACAGUCGGGGGAUGACGGUACCGGAAGAAUAAGCACCGGCUAACUACGUGCCAGCAGCCGCGGUAAUACGUAGGGUGCGAGCGUUAAUCGGAAUUACUGGGCGUAAAGCGUGCGCAGGCGGUUUGCUAAGACCGAUGUGAAAUCCCCGGGCUCAACCUGGGAACUGCAUUGGUGACUGGCAGGCUAGAGUAUGGCAGAGGGGGGUAGAAUUCCACGUGUAGCAGUGAAAUGCGUAGAGAUGUGGAGGAAUACCGAUGGCGAAGGCAGCCCCCUGGGCCAAUACUGACGCUCAUGCACGAAAGCGUGGGGAGCAAACAGGAUUAGAUACCCUUGUAGUC
rnacentral:rRNA from 1 species